AUUGAACGCUGGCGGCAGGCCUAACACAUGCAAGUCGAACGAAGUCUUCGGACUUAGUGGCGGACGGGUGAGUAACACGUGGGAACGUACCUUUUGGUUCGGAACAACUCAGGGAGACUUGAGCUAAUACCGGAUGAGCCCUUAGGGGGAAAGAUUUAUCGCCGAAAGAGCGGCCCGCGUUAGAUUAGCUAGUUGGUGAGGUAAAGGCUCACCAAGGCUACGAUCUAUAGCUGGUCUGAGAGGAUGAUCAGCCACACUGGGACUGAGACACGGCCCAGACUCCUACGGGAGGCAGCAGUGGGGAAUCUUGCGCAAUGGGCGAAAGCCUGACGCAGCCAUGCCGCGUGAAUGAUGAAGGUCUUAGGAUUGUAAAAUUCUUUUACCAGGGACGAUAAUGACGGUACCUGGAGAAAAAGCCCCGGCUAACUUCGUGCCAGCCGCCGCCGUAAGAC
rnacentral:rRNA from 1 species